rnacentral:rRNA from 1 species
UACGGAGGGUGCAAGCGUUAUCCGGAUUCACUGGGUUUAAAGGGUGCGUAGGUGGGCAGGUAAGUCCGUGGUGAAAUCCCUGAGCUUAACUCGGGAACUGCCAUGGAUACUAUUUGUCUUGAAUAUUGUGGAGGUAAGCGGAAUAUGUCAUGUAGCGGUGAAAUGCGUAGAGCUCGGGAAGAACAUCGGUGGCGAAAGCGCUCUGCUGGACUGCAACUGACACUCAGGGACGAAAGCUAGGGGAGCGAAUGGG